rnacentral:rRNA from 1 species
AUGAACGCUGGCGGCGUGCCUAAUACAUGCAAGUCGCGCGAACAGACGAGGAGCUUGCUCCUCUGACGUUAGCGGCGGACGGGUGAGUAAGACGUGGAUAACCUACCUAUAAGACUGGGAUAACUUCGGGAAACCGGAGCUAAUACCGGAUAAUAUAUUGAACCGCAUGGUUCAAUAGUGAAAGACGGUUUUGCUGUCACUUAUAGAUGGAUCCGCGCCGCAUUAGCUAGUUGGUAAGGUAACGGCUUACCAAGGCAACGAUGCGUAGCCGACCUGAGAGGGUGAUCGGCCACACUGGAACUGAGACACGGUCCAGACUCCUACGGGAGGCAGCAGUAGGGAAUCUUCCGCAAUGGGCGAAAGCCUGACGGAGCAACGCCGCGUGAGUGAUGAAGGUCUUCGGAUCGUAAAACUCUGUUAUUAGGGAAGAACAAAUGUGUAAGUAACUAUGCACGUCUUGACGGUACCUAAUCAGAAAGCCACGGCUAACUACGUG